rnacentral:lncRNA from 1 species
CAGUACUAUGUUGUGGACGAAAGCUGGACUGAAAUGGGCCAAAGAAAUUAUUUGCCACUAGGAAAGUGUCACGAUUCACACUGGGAGCAGGGGACGAGGAGACCGAGGAGACGAGGAGUAAAGCAAAUUCCAAAGUCUUUAAUGAAAACAAAGCUGGGAACACAGGAACACAGGAAACACAGAACACGAAAUGACAUUUAACAGCGGAUGGGAAAUGAGGUGCAGAACACACUUUAAAUACACAGAAACGAAUGGGACACACCUGGGAUCAAAUAAAAGGAGGCAAACGAGAUAAUUAAACACAGCUGGAACCAAUAGAACUAAAUAGGGACAGGAAAAACCAAAUAUGGGCAUAAUAAUCAAACUGGAGAACGUGGGGGAGGAAAACACAACACGAGACAUGGAACAGAGUCUGACAGAAAGACUUGAAGCUGGGAAGCUACAGUAGUCUCCAAUAAUUUAGCAAUAAAUGCUGAAAGGGAAGACCAAAGGAAGGCCUGUCAUGGGGUUUGAAUUUGGCCAUACUGUGUGUUUACGGAGAAGACCAAAAGCUGCAAAGGAAAACACUUCCAAUGGAUUUCUCACAGAUUACUAAAUCCUUCUCCAUCAGCUCUCCACAAUAUCAGCCCUGCCAAAAUCUUCCACAUCUCUCUCUCUCUCUCGUGUGGCACUUCUGCUCUCAGUCCUUUACUGCCAACUUCUUAGCAUGUCUACUUAUAUAUAUAGAUAUAUUCUUGAUGAAAAUUAUAAUUUACUAUAAUUGUUAA